rnacentral:rRNA from 1 species
GAUCAGCCACACUGGGACUGAGACACGGCCCAGACUCCUACGGGAGGCAGCAGUGGGGAAUAUUGCACAAUGGGCGCAAGCCUGAUGCAGCCAUGCCGCGUGUGUGAAGAAGGCCUUCGGGUUGUAAAGCACUUUCAGUCAGGAGGAAAGGUUAGUAGUUAAUACCUGCUAGCUGUGACGUUACUGACAGAAGAAGCACCGGCUAACUCCGUGCCAGCAGCCGCGGUAAUACGGAGGGUGCGAGCGUUAAUCGGAAUUACUGGGCGUAAAGCGUACGCGGCGGUCUGUUAAGCGAGAUGUGAAAGCCCCGGGCUCAACCUGGGAACUGCAUUUCGAACUGGCAAACUAGAGUGUGAUAGAGGGUGGUAGAAUUUCAGGUGUAGCGGUGAAAUGCGUAGAGAUCUGAAGNNGAAUACCGAUGGCGAAGGCAGCCACCUGGGUCAACACUGACGCUCAUGUACGAAAGCGUGGGGAGCAAACGGGAUUAGAUACCCCGGUAGUCCACGCCGUAAACGAUGUCUACUAGAAGCUCGGAGCCUCGGUUCUGUUUUUCAAAGCUAACGCAUUAAGUAGACCGCCUGGGGAGUACGGCCGCAAGGUUNAAAACUCAAAUGAAUUGACGGGGGCCCGCACAAGCGGUGGAGCAUGUGGUUUAAUUCGAUGCAACGCGAAGAACCUUACCUACACUUGACAUACAGAGAACUUACCAGAGAUGGUUUGGUGCCUUCGGGAACUCUGAUACAGGUGCUGCAUGGCUGUCGUCAGCUCGUGUUGUGAGAUGUUGGGUUAGGUCCCGCAACGA